CGUGUAGGCGGCGAUUUAAGUCUGGAGUGAAAGUCCUGCUUUUAAGGUGGGAAUUGCUUUGGAUACUGGAUGGCUAGAGUGCAGGAGAGGUUAGUGGAAUUCCCAGUGUAGCGGUGAAAUGCGUAGAUAUUGGGAAGAACACCAGUGGCGAAGGCGGCUUUCUGGACUGUAACUGACGCUGAGGCUCGAAAGGCUGGUAGCAACG
rnacentral:rRNA from 1 species